GAUAUGUGGGGCCUACGUGGACCCUACCAUUUUAAAAUUAUUUUUUCAUGAAACUGACAUUUGAGGCCCACAUUUUUUUUAUUAUUUUCCAAAUCAAUUUGCCACAUAAGUGCCACGUCACUGCCACGUCAUAUGAAGACCGAGUCAAAUUAGCCACGUAGGCGCCAUGUCA
rnacentral:misc_RNA from 1 species